GUAACCUGCCUUAUAGUGGGGGAGUAGCCUUUCGAAAGGAAGAUUAAUACCGCAUAAGAUUGUAGUAUCGCAUGAUAUAGCAAUUAAAGGAGCAAUUCGCUAUAAGAUGGACCCGCGUCGCAUUAGCUAGUUGGUGAGGUGAUGGCUCACCAAGGCGACGAUGCGUAGCCGACCUGAGAGGGUGAUCGGCCACAUUGGGACUGAGACACGGCCCAGACUCCUACGGGAGGCAGCAUG
rnacentral:rRNA from 1 species